UACAGAGGAUGCAAGCGUUAUCCGGAAUGAUUGGGCGUAAAGCGUCUGUAGGUGGCUUUUUAAGUCCGCCGUCAAAUCCCAGGGCUCAACUCUGGACAGGCGGUGGAAACUACAUAGCUAGAGUACGUUCGGGGCAGAGGGAAUUCCUGGUGUAGCGGUGAAAUGCGUAGAGAUCAGGAAGAACACCAGUGGCGAAGGCGCUCUGCUAGGCCGUAACUGACACUGAGGGACGAAAGCUAGGGGAGCGAAUGGG
rnacentral:rRNA from 1 species